rnacentral:tRNA from 1 species
UGUUAGUUCGUCUAAUGGUAGGACAAAGGAUUCUGAUUCCUUUUAUUUAGGUUCGAGUCCUAAACUAACAGCCA